CCGGUGGCGGAUGGGCAUGCGGCGCAUUAGCUAGUCGGCGGGGUAACGGCCCACCGAGGCGACGAUGCGUAGGGGUUCUGAGAGGAAGGUCCCCCACACUGGUACUGAGACACGGACCAGACUCCUACGGGAGGCAGCAGUGAGGAAUAUUGGUCAAUGGGCGCGAGCCUGAACCAGCCAAGUCGCGUGAGGGAUGACGGUCCUACGGAUUGUAAACCUCUUUUGCCGGGGAGCAAGCGUGCGUUCGUGAACGCGCGUCGAGAGUACCCGGAGAAAAAGCAUCGGCUAACUCCGUGCCAGCAGCCGCGGUAAUACGGAGGAUGCGAGCGUUAUCCGGAUUUAUUGGGUUUAAAGGGUGCGUAGGCGGGAUGCCAAGUCAGCGGUAAAAAUGCGGUGCUCAACGCCGUCGAGCCGUUGAAACUGGCGUUCUUGAGUGGGCGAGAAGUAUGCGGAAUGCGUGGUGUAGCGGUGAAAUGCAUAGAUAUCACGCAGAACUCCGAUUGCGAAGGCAGCAUACCGGCGCCCUACUGACGCUGAGGCACGAAAGCGUGGGUAUCGAACAGGAUUAGAUACCCUGGUAGUCCACGCAGUAAACGAUGAAUGCUAACUGUCCGGCUCGAAUGAGCGCUGGGCGCU
rnacentral:rRNA from 1 species